UUUCAAAAGCUCAUCUCUAGUGUAUGUGGUUGCAUUGCAGAUUGUACACAAAUCAUUUGCUGUAUCAAUAAUACAUUUCCUACUUUAAGGGACACUUCAGCUGUAGUAACUGAAAAUCAGCUCCUUGCAAGCAUAGAUCAGUCCUAGGUUAUCCAGUGGGCAAAACCUGCAAUAUGUCAUCUAGACCAGGCGGUCUUCAGCUGCAGGAAUCACAAGAUAUGCCAAGAGGUCAAAGGAAGGGUAGGCAUAUAGGGUAUCAGUCUGUCUCAUCCUCCUGCCCUCUGUUUGACCACCCUACCCUCGAAGUAAAUGUCACCAAGGUGCUGAUUACACCAACAGGAGCAGAUGGAGAAGAAGAUCACAGUGCUCCUCUGGUUACUUGUCACUCGCUUUCACUGUUGUCAAGCAAGUUUCAAAUAACUCUUUAUCACAAUUUAGCAGUUCCUCAAAAGGCUGAGCCAAAGUUACCUAAGCCUAACCUGUAUCAAAACUGGGCCUCAUCUCACAUACUGCUGGACCUCUAGGAUGAGAAUUGCACUACUGGUUCCGGAAACCCUGUUUUAGAAUAAAAAAUAAAUAAAUUGCUCCCCCA
rnacentral:lncRNA from 1 species